rnacentral:rRNA from 1 species
GAUGAACGCUAGCGGCAGGCUUAAUACAUGCAAGUUGAGGGGCAGCAUGAUAUACGCGAGUAUAUUGAUGGCGACCGGCGGACGGGUGAGUAAUAGGUAGGAGACCUACCUCAUACAGGGGGAUAGCAUAGAGAAAUCUGUGGUAAUACCCCAUGAGGUUAUAUGAAUAGAGGCAUAUAAUCAAAGCAUAAGCGAUUAUGCGGUAUGAGAGGGGCCUACUGACCAUUAGCUAGUUGGUGAGGUAAGGGCUCACCAAGGCGAAGAUGGUUAGGGGUUUUGAGAGAGAGAUCCCCCACAUUGGAACUGAGAUACGGUCCAGACUCCUACGGGAGGCAGCAGUAGGGAAUAUUGGGCAAUGGCGGAAGCCUGACCCAGCCAUGCCGCGUGAAGGAAGACGGCCUUAUGGGUUGUAAACUUCUUUAACUAUGCGACUAACUAGAUUUACGAGAUAAUCUAUAGAAUGUAGCAUAGC